UCACAUCGUCUCAUCGUCUCAUCGUCACUCGCGUUGUGGCGCUGACAGAGUGCAGACGAUCGUUCCUGUUUCAUCGGUCAGUGCCGGCAGGUGGUGGGUGUGUACGGAUCCUUCGAUUCCUUCCGAUCUCGAUCCAAAAAGACGUAAAGCGAACGCCCGAAUUCUCUCACUAGUAAACAUCAGUCAUGGGAGGAUAUGCAUGGGUUACAUUGGCUACAAACGAUGCCUAUUCUUUGGGAGCAUUGGUCCUGGCGCACUCCCUACGUCGGGUCGGCACCAAGUACGAGCUGGCUUGUCUGGUCACUCCCGGAGUUACGGCAACGAUGAG